GUGGGGAAUCUUGCGCAAUGGGCGAAAGCCUGACGCAGCCAUGCCGCGUGAAUGAUGAAGGUCUUAGGAUUGUAAAAUUCUUUCACCGGGGACGAUAAUGACGGUACCCGGAGAAGAAGCUCCGGCUAACUUCGUGCCAGCAGCCGCGGUAAUACGAAGGGGGCUAGCGUUGCUCGGAAUUACUGGGCGUAAAGGGCGCGUAGGCGGACAGCUUAGUCAGAGGUGAAAGCCAAGGGCUCAACCUUGGAAUUGCCUUUGAUACUGGCUGUCUUGAGUUGAGGAGAGGUGAGUGGAACUCCGAGUGUAGAGGUGAAAUUCGUAGAUAUUCGGAAGAACACCAGUGGCGAAGGCGACUCACUGGCCCAAUACUGACGCUGAGGCGCGAAAGCGUGGGGAGCAAACAGGAUUAGAAACCCUGGUAGUCC
rnacentral:rRNA from 1 species